AAUGAACGCUGGCGGCAGGCCUAACACAUGCAAGUCGAACGGAUCCUUCGGGAUUAGUGGCGGACGGGUGAGUAACGCGUGGGAACAUACCCAAAGGUACGGAAUAGCCUCGGGAAACUGGGAGUAAUACCGUAUGUGCUCGAAAGAGGAAAGAUUUAUCGCCUUUGGAUGGGCCCGCGCUGGAUUAGGUAGUUGGUGGGGUAAUGGCCAACCAAGCCGACGAUCCAGAGCUGGUUUGAGAGGAUGAUCAGCCACGCUGGGACUGAGACACGGCCCAGACUCCUACGGGAGGCAGCAGUGGGGAAUCUUAGACAAUGGGGGAAACCCUGAUCUAGCCAUGCCGCGUGAUCGAUGAAGGCCUUAGGGUUGUAAAGAUCUUUCAGGUGGGAAGAUAAUGACUGUACCACCAGAAGAAGCCCCGGCUAACUCCGUGCCAGCCGCCGCGGUAA
rnacentral:rRNA from 1 species